UACGGAGGGGGCAAGCGUUGUUCGGAAUUACUGGGCGUAAAGCGCGCGUAGGCGGUCUGUAAAGUCAGGCGUGAAAGCCCUGGGCUCAACCCAGGAACUGCGCUUGAUACUGGCAGACUAGAGUCCGGGAGAGGAGAGUGGAAUUCCCAGUGUAGAGGUGAAAUUCGUAGAUAUUGGGAAGAACACCAGUGGCGAAGGCGGCUCUCUGGACCGGUACUGACGCUGAGGUGCGAAAGCGUGGGGAGCAAACAGG
rnacentral:misc_RNA from 1 species